AGUGAACGCUGGCGGUAGGCCUAACACAUGCAAGUCGAACGGCAGCACAGUAAGAGCUUGCUCUUACGGGUGGCGAGUGGCGGACGGGUGAGGAAUACAUCGGAAUCUACUUUUUCGUGGGGGAUAACGUAGGGAAACUUACGCUAAUACCGCAUACGACCUACGGGUGAAAGCAGGGGAUCUUCGGACCUUGCGCGAUUGAAUGAGCCGAUGUCGGAUUAGCUAGUUGGCGGGGUAAAGGCCCACCAAGGCGACGAUCCGUAGCUGGUCUGAGAGGAUGAUCAGCCACACUGGAACUGAGACACGGUCCAGACUCCUACGGGAGGCAGCAGUGGGGAAUAUUGGACAAUGGCGCAAGCCUGAUCCAGCCAUACCGCGUGGGUGAAGAAGGCCUUCGGGUUGUAAAGCCCUUUUGUUGGGAAAGAAAAGCAGCAGGUUAAUACCCCGCUGUUUUGACGGUACCCAAAGAAUAAGCACCGGCUAACUUCGUG
rnacentral:rRNA from 1 species